rnacentral:rRNA from 1 species
ACGAGUGGCGGACGGGUGAGUAACACGUGGGUAACCUGCCCUUAAGUGGGGGAUAACAUUUGGAAACAGAUGCUAAUACCGCAUAGAUCCAAGAACCGCAUGGUUCUUGGCUGAAAGAUGGCGUAAGCUAUCGCUUUUGGAUGGACCCGCGGCGUAUUAGCUAGUUGGUGAGGUAAUGGCUCACCAAGGCGAUGAUACGUAGCCGAACUGAGAGGUUGAUCGGCCACAUUGGGACUGAGACACGGCCCAAACUCCUACGGGAGGCAGCAGUAGGGAAUCUUCCACAAUGGACGCAAGUCUGAUGGAGCAACGCCGCGUGAGUGAAGAAGGCUUUCGGGUCGUAAAACUCUGUUGUUGGAGAAGAAUGGUCGGCAGAGUAACUGUUGUCGGCGUGACGGUAUCCAACCAGAAAGCCACGGCUAACUACGUGCCAGCAGCCGCGGUAAUACGUAGGUGGCAAGCGUUAUCCGGAUUUAUUGGGCGUAAAGCGAGCGCAGGCGGUUUUUUAAGUCUGAUGUGAAAGCCCUCGGCUUAACCGAGGAAGCGCAUCGGAAACUGGGAAACUUGAGUGCAGAAGAGGACAGUGGAACUCCAUGUGUAGCGGUGAAAUGCGUAGAUAUAUGGAAGAACACCAGUGGCGAAGGCGGCUGUCUGGUCUGUAACUGACGCUGAGGCUCGAAAGCAUGGGUAGCGAACAGGAUUAGAUACCCUGGUAGUCCAUGCCGUAAACGAUGAAUGCUAGGUGUUGGAGGGUUUCCGCCCUUCAGUGCCGCAGCUAACGCAUUAAGCAUUCCGCCUGGGGAGUACGACCGCAAGGUUGAAACUCAAAGGAAUUGACGGGGGCCCGCACAAGCGGUGGAGCAUGUGGUUUAAUUCGAAGCAACGCGAAGAACCUUACCAGGUCUUGACAUCUUUUGAUCACCUGAGAGAUCAGGUUUCCCCUUCGGGGGCAAAAUGACAGGUGGUGCAUGGUUGUCGUCAGCUCGUGUCGUGAGAUGUUGGGUUAAGUCCCGCAACGAGCGCAACCCUUAUGACUAGUUGCCAGCAUUUAGUUGGGCACUCUAGUAAGACUGCCGGUGACAAACCGGAGGAAGGUGGGGAUGACGUCAAAUCAUCAUGCCCCUUAUGACCUGGGCUACACACGUGCUACAAUGGAUGGUACAACGAGUUGCGAGACCGCGAGGUCAAGCUAAUCUCUUAAAGCCAUUCUCAGUUCGGACUGUAGGCUGCAACU